rnacentral:other from 1 species
GUGACUCUGCGGUGCACGUGAUGAGUCGGCACACGGGGCGAGCCAACACUAUAAAAACGGGAGCUGGACCAAGUGACGUGGAUGUGGUAGCCCUUGAGGCAAGACGGAAGCGCCCAGUCCGCACCCACCUGCUUACGCAGGUUCGUACCCACUGACACACACGGCUCUGCGGAGAUAUG